AGUGAACGCUGGCGGUAGGCUUAACACAUGCAAGUCGAACGGCAGCACAGUAAGAGUGUGCUGUGACGGGGGGGGAGUGGCGGACGGGAGAGGUAUGCAUCGGAAUCUACUUUUUGGGGUGGGAUAAGGAAGGGGAGGCUAAGAUCGUAUAGCAUACGACGUACGGUGGAAGGGGUGGGAACUUUUGGGCGGUCGGGAAUGAACUAGCGGAUGUCGGACUAGCUGGUGGGGGGGGUAAUUGCCCAGCAUGGCGACGAUCGGUAGCUUGUCUGAGAGGCUGGUCGGCCACACUGGAACUGAGACACGGUCCAGACUCCUACGGGAGGCAGCAGUGUGGAAUAUUAGACAAUGGGCGCAAGCCUGAUCCAGCCAUACCGCGUGGGUGAAGAAGGCCUUCGGGUUGUAAAGCCCUUUUGUUGGGAAAGAAAAGCAGCAGGUUAAUACCCCGCUGUUCUGACGGUACCCAAAGAAUAAGCACCGGCUAACUUCGUG
rnacentral:rRNA from 1 species